CGGUUUAAUUGGAUUCAACGCCGGAAAUCUUACCGGGACUGACAGCAAUAUGAAGGCCAGGCUGAAGACUUUGCCGGAUUAGCUGAGAGGUGGUGCAUGGCCGUCGUCAGUUCGUACUGUGAAGCAUCCUGUUAAGUCAGGCAACGAGCGAGACCCACGCCCACAGUUGCCAGCGUACUCUCUGGAGUGACGGGUACACUGUGGGGACCGCCGCUGCUAAAGCGGAGGAAGGAAUGGGCAACGGUAGGUCAGUAUGCCCCGAAUAUCCCGGGCUACACGCGAGCUACAAUGGUUGGUACAAUGGGUAUCUACCCCGAAAGGGGACGGGAAUCUCCUAAAACCAAUCUUAGUUCGGAUUGAGGGCUGCAACUCGCCCUCAUGAAGCUGGAAUCCGUAGUAAUCGCGUUUCAACAGAACGCGGUGAAUACGUCCCUGCUCCUU
rnacentral:rRNA from 1 species